UACGAAGGGGGCAAGCGUUAUCCGGAAUUACUGGGCGUAAAGCGCACGCAGGCGGUUCGCCAAGUUUGGAGUGACAGUUGUCGGCUCAACCGACAAAGGACUUCAAAAACUGGUGAACUUGAGGACGAGAGAGGAACAUGGAACUCCAGGUGUAGUAGUGAAAUGCGUAGAUAUCUGGAAGAACACCAAUGGCGAAGGCAAUGUUCUGGCUCGUUUCUGACGCUCAGGUGCGAAAGCCAGGGGAGCGAACGGG
rnacentral:rRNA from 1 species